UAAGCGGAGGAAAAGAAACUAACAAGGAUUCCCCCUAGUAACGGCGAGUGAAGAGGGAAAAGCUCAAAUUUAAAAUCUGGCGGUCUUCGAUCGUCCGAGUUGUAGUUUAGAGAGGUGCUUUCCGCGCUGGACCGUGUACAAGUCCCCUGGGAUGGGGCGUCAUAGAGGGUGAGAAUCCCGUCCAUGACACGGACUGCCAGUGCUAUGUGAUGCGCCUUCAAAGAGUCGAGUUGUUUGGGAAUGCAGCUCAAAAUGGGUGGUAAACUCCAUCUAAAGCUAAAUAUUGGCGAGAGACCGAUAGCGAACAAGUACCGUGAGGGAAAGAUGAAAAGAACUUUGGAAAGAGAGUUAAACAGUGCGUGAAAUUGCUGAAAGGGAAACGCUUGAAGUCAGUCGCGUUCGGCGGGACUCAGCCUUGCUUCUGCUUGGUGCAUUUCCUGUCGGACGGGUCAGCAUCGAUUUUGACCGCUGGACAAUGGAGGGAGGAAUGUGGCACCCUCGGGUGUGUUAUAGCCUUUUUUCGUAUACGGCGAUUGGGAUCGAGGACUGCAGCGCGCCUCUGGUCGGGGGUUCUCCCCACGUAUCGCGCUUAGGAUGCUGGCGU
rnacentral:rRNA from 1 species